UUCACCUAAAUACUAUUCAAAAAUGAAAUCGAUGAAAUGUUAAACACUUUUAACAAGUAUAUGUAUAUUAAUUUUAGUGCUUACAAUCAUAAUUUUCUGAUUCUGAAUACAGUUAUUAUCUUUAGGCCAGUUGUAUUACGUUAUGUUUUUUAUGUUUUAGGAAAAAUACAAUGUUCACAGAUUCUAUGAAGGACACGACAUCGCCAUUUUGCACCUCAAAAAGCCAGUAAAACUCUCGUCUUCUACACAGCCGGUGCGCCUUUCGGAUAGCACAUUUGACGAAGAAGCGCUGACAAACACAAAUUGUUAUGUAUCUGGAAUUGGGGCAGUUAAACAAGAUGAGUAUGGUUUUGAAUACCCAGAAUUCCUCCGAGAAAAAAGAGUUAACAUCAUAACGAACAAAGAGUGCAAGCAAAAUACAAUCGUCAGUAGAGGAAUAGUGUGCACCAAAUACAGCGAAACGAC
rnacentral:lncRNA from 1 species